CAGUAGCCGCGGUAAUACGUAGGGUGCGAGCGUUAAUCGGAAUUACUGGGCGUAAAGCGUGCGCAGGCGGUUGUGUAAGGCAGGUGUGAAAUCCCCGGGCUUAACCUGGGAACUGCGCUUGUGACUGCACAGCUAGAGUAUGGCAGAGGGGGGUGGAAUUCCACGUGUAGCAGUGAAAUGCGUAGAGAUGUGGAGGAACACCGAUGGCGAAGGCAGCCCCCUGGGCCAAUACUGACGCUCAUGCACGAAAGCGUGGGGAGCAAACAGGAUUAGAUACCCCCGUAGUCCCUGUCUCUUAUAC
rnacentral:rRNA from 1 species